CAAAUCUUUUUGGGGGGGGGGGGGGAUUCUAUAUUUACUUGGAUUGAAUAAAGGAAGAAGCUUGUGUGUAUAUUCAAUAGUGUGGAAACAAUUAGAAACUAGCGUCCUGUCAUUUGAUUGAUCGAGGUUAUGUUCCAUUUGAAUUUUACACUUGUGAGAUCACUUUGUUAUUUCUAUCAGUUCUUUGCAGAUAUUCUAUAUUUACUUAGAUUGAAAAUGGAAGAAGCUUAUGUAUUCAUAAUGUGGAAACAUUUAGAAGCUAGCGUCCUGUCUUUUGAUCGUUAGAGAAGUUAUAUUCCAUUUGAAUUUUUACACUUAUGAGAUCACUUUGUUAUUCCUAUCAGUUCUUGGCAAUUGCUUAGAUUGAAAAUGGAAGAAGCUUAUGUGUAUCUUCAUAACGUGUUAACACUUGUGAGAAUCAUUUUGUUAUUCCUAUCAGUUCUUGACAAUAUUUUAUAUCUUCUUUGAUUGAAAAAGGAAGAAGCUUAUGUGUAUAUUCAUAAUGUAGAAACAAUUAGGAACAAGCAUCCUCUGUCUACUUGAAUGAUCAUUAGAGAGGUUAGGUUCCAUUUGGCUUUUAUACUUAUGAGAUCACUUUGUUAUUCCUAUCAAUCCUAAGCAAUAUACAGUUCCCCCCUCUUGUUUCCAACGUUUUAAAAAUAUUGGCUUGUUUGCAAUCAUGUGAUGAUGAUGUGCAUGUUUGUUUGUUUCUGUGCAAUCAUGUGAUGAGGAAGAAGCUUGUGAGUUUGCCGGCGAGAAUCGAGAUGGUCAGGAGGAGCUUGAGAGUGAGAGCUGAUGGAUGAUGAUGACAGAUAGCUGUUUGGUGUGGUAGAAGAGCAAAAGCUAACGCCUUUGUGCGUUUUGCAAGCUGUUAAAGAAUAUUAAAACCCCCAAUGGCAGAUCAACGGGGUAAAAAAAAAGUGUGGUGUAACCGCAAGACAAGAUAAUGAUACCAUCCCUCUUCAUUGCUAACAUAUGCAAGACAUUUGGACUCCAGAAACUUUGAAGGAGAAGCUGAAACAUGAGCGAGCAUAUGGAUGAGAUAAACUUUGGUCGUAAAGAAAGUGUUUUGAUCACUGACAUUAUUAGGAUUGUGAAGAAUCCACAAACAUAAACAUAGAAGAGCCAAUUAAAAGCUUUUUGUGAAACAGGAAGUGAUGGUCGAACUCGGGUGUAGCAGUGUCUUUCUUUGUUCAUACAAACAAAGAGAAGAGUGGUGGUACAUCUCAUCAACUUCUGUGUUUUGCAAGAAGGUUCCUCAGUAUCCAAAAAGCUAGCUUGAAGAGGGAGGGAGUAAAGUCAGGCGUGAUGUUCUUCUUCCUCCAAGAAUACUACAGUGUAUAAACUCUAACUGGAGGUAGUUGUCAAUAAUUGCUUUCAGUCGCCCAUAGUUACAGUCGCCUUAUUUCAAUUGACAAAUGGAUCACAACUGCCGUGCGGUUCUAGACUCUCUUGUGAAGUCUCCGAGCUUGCCUAAGGUCAAGAACUCUCCUAAAGGAAAGGUUCUGAUGCGAGCUUUUUAUGGUGUUAAGGUCCAAACGGUUUAUAUCUUCUGCAGUGUAUUUACCGCGGCCAGUGGUCUGAUUCCACCAACCAUCUUUUCCAUUUAAGCGUCUCUGAUAAACCAUUGUGGGCUAAGAGGUCUUCACUGAUAUGCUGCAGAGACUUGAGAGGGUUGAUGCUAGUGUGGAGAAGCUUUACCCGAUAUGAUACAAAGACGGUGUGGAAGAUGAAACUUUUGUAAGGGUUAUGUAAUGGAGCUGGGGACGCAAGCUGAGAAAUUGUCUCAACGGUUAGAUCGGUUACUAGAGGAAGUUGACAGUUUCUUCAAAAUGACUUUAAGCGGAAGAGAUGUGUUGCCCUGUAAUCUUAUGAGUCUAGGUCUCUAAAAGUGUGCAUCUGUUGAGCUUUUGUAUACUUGGUUUAAGUGUGUUGGGUCUUGUCUGUACUGAUUGAAAUCAAUUCAAAUAUAUAAAACUU